rnacentral:rRNA from 1 species
UUUCGCAAUGCCCGAAAGGGUGACGAAGCGACGCCGCGUGAGCGAAGAAGGCCUUAGGGUUGUAAAGCUCUGUCAGGGGUUAUGAAAUGUAAAUGGGCUAAUACCUCAUUUAUUUGACAAAGGCCCCAAAGGAAGCCACGGCUAACUCUGUGCCAGCAGCCGCGGUAAUACAGAGGUGGCAAGCGUUGUUCGGUAUUAUUGGGCGUAAAGAGCACGUAGGUUGUUUUGUAAGUCAGGUGUGAAAGCCUUCUGUUCAAAGGAAGAACGGCAUCUGAAACUGCAGAUCUUGAGUAUAGGAGGGGAGAGUGGAACUUCUGGUGGAGCGGUGAAAUACGUAGAUAUCAGAAGGAACGUCGGCGGCGAAAGCGACUCUCUGGCCUAUUACUGACACUGAGGUGCGAAAGUUAGGGGAGCAAACGGGAUUAGGUACCCCGGUAGUCCUAACCGUAAACGAUGGGCACUAAGUAGAGGGGUUUUAA